AAUAAAGAGAGUAUUUUACUAACUAUUACAUUAGUUUCAUCGCUUUCAUUUAUAUCAUUUUCGUCCAAAAUGAAUACAAUUCUUUCAUCUCAAAAUACAUAGCUCUCAAAAUCCUCACCUACAAUAAAACUCUCAAAUACAUAGGUGUGCUAAUGCAAAAAGGAAAGCUACUAUACUACCACGGUCUCACUGAUCGGGCGCGAUGCCCUUGCCGCGGUCCUCCAUCGGCAACCCU
rnacentral:lncRNA from 1 species